rnacentral:rRNA from 1 species
UGAACGCUGGCGGCGUGCCUAAUACAUGCAAGUCGAGCGAACAGACGAGGAGCUUGCUCCUCUGACGUUAGCGGCGGACGGGUGAGUAACACGUGGAUAACCUACCUAUAAGACUGGGAUAACUUCGGGAAACCGGAGCUAAUACCGGAUAAUAUAUUGAACCGCAUGGUUCAAUAGUGAAAGACGGUUUUGCUGUCACUUAUAGAUGGAUCCGCGCCGCAUUAGCUAGUUGGUAAGGUAACGGCUUACCAAGGCGACGAUGCGUAGCCGACCUGAGAGGGUGAUCGGCCACACUGGAACUGAGACACGGUCCAGACUCCUACGGGAGGCAGCAGUAGGGAAUCUUCCGCAAUGGGCGAAAGCCUGACGGAGCAACGCCGCGUGAGUGAUGAAGGUCUUCGGAUCGUAAAACUCUAUUAUUAGGGAAGAACAAAUGUGUAAGUAACUAUGCACGUCUUGACGGUACCUAAUCAGAAAGCCACGGCUAACUACGUG